GCCAGACUCCUACGGGAGGCAGCAGUGAGGAAUAUUGGUCAAUGGGCGCGAGCCUGAACCAGCCAAGUCGCGUGAGGGAUGACGGUCCUACGGAUUGUAAACCUCUUUUGCCGGGGAGCAAGCGUGCGUUCGUGAACGCACGUCGAGAGUACCCGGAGAAAAAGCAUCGGCUAACUCCGUGCCAGCAGCCGCGGUAAUACGGAGGAUGCGAGCGUUAUCCGGAUUUAUUGGGUUUAAAGGGUGCGCAGGCGGAAGAUAAAGUCAGGGGUAAAAUUGAGAGGCUCAACCUCUUCGAGCCGUUGAAACUGGUUUUCUUGAGUGAGCGAGAAGUAUGCGGAAUGCGUGGUGUAGCGGUGAAAUGCAUAGAUAUCACGCAGAACUCCGAUUGCGAAGGCAGCAUACCGGCGCUCAACUGACGCUCAUGCACGAAAGUGUGGGUAUCGAACAGGAUUAGAUACCCGAGUA
rnacentral:rRNA from 1 species